GGAAGAACCUACAAAUAUAUACAUAACAAAAUAAUCUGUGUAAGGGUUUCGUUUUCGAGGUUUUAGACGGAUUUAAGUGCUUUAGUAAGGAAUAUUGACCAGUUCAUUGUUGGAUCAAAGUGCUACAGGGUACGGUAAUGCUAUUUGAACAAUGAACUUAUAUCGGAAAGCCAAGUUAGCCGUGAAAUUUCGCAAAGCUGGUGAAGGUCAUGUGCUAAGUGAAAGUUCAUCAUCACAGACCCAAAGUCAGCCCAAUGUUCCACAGCAACCACGAAGAGCACCAACCUCAGAUGCACAGCGUGCCGGACAGGCAGCUAUUGCAAGAUUUCAGCAGCAAGAGAAACAGCCUAAACGACCACAUUCUGCCACUGCAACAUGGAAAUCACGUUCAAAUGAACCUGCAAGCAAACUGGAUGAUGGCCCAGGAGUGAAUGCAUCAAAAUUAAGAAGUGAAGUGGAAGCAGAAUUUAUUAGAGAGUCGGGAGCUUGUGGGUCAGGUGAACAACAGAAUUUUGAAAAGGAGGUUGUACACCAAGACUCAGCUCCAAUUCUUGCAGUCGCCGGUGUGUUCUUCAUUUGUCCAUUCUGCUCCGUCAGUUAUGUGCGACAAGAUAUUCGUGCUCACAUGGAUGACUGUCUCAAAGAGAGCUAUAAAAGUGACCAGAUAUUAAGUCCAGUUAAUAUGAUCAGGUCUUUGAACAAAGAUCAAAGUAAAGUAGAUGGUUGUGUUGAUGUUCUGUGCAGAUAUUUGGACAACAUUUUGAAGAAUCCAGACGAAAGUAAAUACCGUAGAAUAAAGCAGGGAAAUAAAGUCUUUCAGGAAAGAGUAAAACCUGUAAAAGGAAGCAUCGAAUUUUUGCUUGCCUGUGGUUUUUCUGAGCAACCAUUACCAGAUAACCCAGGCGAGAUGUGCUUUAUUAUCGAAGAAGGAGCUACCGAUGUGACAGAGAAACUAAAUAUCAUGAAGGAAAUCCUUGUUGCAACAGAGACUUGCAAGCCGAAGCUGGACAGAUCUCUCAGGGUACUCAAGCCGUCAUCAAGUAAUAGUGAAACUGUUCAACUUCCUGAGGGGUUUUUUGACCUAAGUUCAGAUGAAGUGAAGAAGAUGCAAACGGAACGAUUAGUGGAAGUUGAUCGUAAUUCUCAGUUAAGAACUCGUGCGAUGAGAGAAAGAGAAGAGAAAAAUCCAGCAAGGAUAUAUCGAUUCACGCUAUUACGUGUGAAGUUUCCUGAUGGGCACAUCUUACAAGGCACAUUCAAUGCUCGUGAGAAAUGUCAAUCCCUCGAGAACUUUGUGAGAGAACAGCUCCAAAAUGAUUGGCUGCCUUUUGUAUUGUCUGAGCCUGGCGGUGGAAUACUCACUCACGAGGAGUCGAGUUUCGAGGAACUUGGACUGGUUCCAGCCGCUAUUCUACAUUUCAACUGGGAUACAGCAGUGCUCGCAGACCUUGAAGCAAGUGGGAAGUCUAUGGAAACGAACUAUUUAAAGGUGACUUGUCCAUUGGGUUGAAGAACUUAUUGCCUCAACUGCUGACAAUUUACCUGAAAUAAAAAUAAACUUCCCUGCAUAAAAAGUACAAUAUAAAGCAUCCAGAUGACGUUUUUAACAACUAGUAUGUAUUAUUAUCAAUUUAGGGCCAGUAGUUCUCAAUCGUAGUGCAUUGCAUCAAUUGUGGUAACAUUUUGUAUUUUAAAUAACUGUUAUACCACACUCCAUGAUAGACAAAUUGAAAUUCCUGGGCUGCCAUACAUUGGCUCUCAUGAGAUGCUUGGCUUCCCAAAAUAUUACAUAAUAUGGGAGUGCAACAACACCCAAUGAUCAGGUUAUGUAUCUAUAUAUAACUGUUAGGUGACCUAGGUCCCUCAGCAGCUGUCAUCUUUUCAACCUGACAUAAACUUAAAGGUUUUCUUGCAACUCAAGCUUGCCAUGUGAUGUAAAUGCUCCUACUUACAAAUCUUUCCUUCCUUUUCAAGUUUCUUCAGAUGCUCUAACACGCGCGACCUGCAGAGAAGCUGCAGAGAAGAAUUUCUCUGCAGCUUUUCGUAGGUGAAUUCGGCUCUCCUGGUAGAAUGAUUUGGAGUCUUUAUAUUGCAUAUAUUCACUCUUAUUCACAAAAGAAACUUAUGACAACAUACUGUGUAGAUUUUCUUGACAAGAUCCAUAGCGGGUCCUACUAAACACUGCCCGAGA
rnacentral:misc_RNA from 1 species